ACACAGCAGCUGUGUCCAGCACACAGAGGACCCAGCCAUCUGCUUUGGUUCAGAGCCCUGUGUCUGUCUGUCAGUCAGUCUCUCCCUGGCUCUCCCUCCAUCCUCGUUCCUGCCUGAAGCCAUGACCCGCUUCUCCUAUGCAGAGUACUUUUCCCUCUUUCACUCCUGCUCUGCACCCUCCAGGUCCACUGCACCUCCUGAGAGUUCGCCGGCCCGGGCCCCAAUGGGCUUGUUCCAAGGGGUCAUGCAGAAAUACAGCAGCAGCUUAUUCAAGAUCUCCCAGCUGGCGCCUGUGGACCCCUUGAUAAAGGCCAUCAAGGAUGGCGAUGAAGAGGCCUUGAAGACCAUGAUCAAGGAAGGGAAGAAUCUUGCAGAGCCCAACAAGGAGGGCUGGCUGCCGCUGCACGAGGCCGCAUACUAUGGCCAGGUGGGCUGCCUGAAAGUCCUGCAGCGAGGUGAGGGCUGGGCUCUGAUGGUGGCAAGAGGUGGGAAAGGGACUGGGGGAAGGGCUGCCGCUCCUGGGGCUUCAUGUUCUUUGCCCACAAUCAUCUUGGGAGAAGGGCAGGCAAGGCUGUCACUUU
rnacentral:sRNA from 1 species